UGAGCAAUCUGCCCUUCACAUCGGAAUAACCAUUGGAAACGAUGGCUAAUACCGAAUAUGACUUCGGAUCGCAUGAUCUGAAGUGGAAAGCUCCGGCGGUGAAGGAUGAGCUCGCGGCCUAUCAGCUAGUUGGUGUGGGUAAUGGCCCACAAGGCGACGACGGGUAGCCGGCUGAGAGGGUGACCGGCCACACUGGGACUGAGACACGGCCCAGAUCCGUAACGGGG
rnacentral:rRNA from 1 species